rnacentral:rRNA from 1 species
UGAGGAAUAUUGCACAAUGGGCGAAAGCCUGAUGCAGCAACGCCGCGUGCGGGACGAAGGCCUUCGGGUCGUAAACCGCUUUUCUGAGGGACGAGCAAGGACGGUACCUCAGGAAUAAGUCUCGGCUAACUACGUGCCAGCAGCCGCGGUAAUACGGAGGGGGUUAGCGUUGUUCGGAAUUACUGGGCGUAAAGCGCGCGUAGGCGGAUUAGAAAGUUAGGGGUGAAAUCCCAGGGCUCAACCCUGGAACUGCCUCUAAAACUCCUAGUCUUGAGGUCGAGAGAGGUGAGUGGAAUUCCGAGUGUAGAGGUGAAAUUCGUAGAUAUUCGGAAGAACACCAGUGGCGAAGGCGACUUACUGGACACAUAUUGACGCUGAGGUGCGAAAGCGUGGGGAGCAAACAGGAUUAGAUACC